rnacentral:rRNA from 1 species
UGGGGAAUCUUGCGCAAUGGGCGAAAGCCUGACGCAGCGAUGCCGCGUGAGUGAUGAAGGCCUUCGGGUUGUAAAGCUCUGUGGGGAGAGAAGAAUAAGUGCGUGCGAAUAGCACGCAUGAUGACGGUAUCUCCUUAGCAAGCACCGGCUAACUCUGUGCCAGCAGCCGCGGUAAGACAGAGGGUGCAAACGUUGUUCGGAAUUACUGGGCGUAAAGCGAGUGUAGGCGGUGAGAUAAGUCGGACGUGAAAGCCCGGGGCUCAACCUCGGAAGUGCGCUCGAUACUGUCUCGCUUGAGUGUCGGAGAGGUUGGUGGAAUUCUGGGUGUAGAGGUGAAAUUCGUAGAUAUCCAGAGGAACACCGGUGGCGAAGGCGGCCAACUGGACGACGACUGACGCUGAGACUCGAAAGUGUGGGGAGCAAACA